rnacentral:rRNA from 1 species
UUGGUACCGAGUUGAGACUCGUAGCAGAUAGCUCAGUAACACGUGGCCAAACUACCCUAUCGAGCACGAUACUCUCGGGAAACUGAGGCUAAUAGUGCAUAUGGCUCGCUGCCUGGAGUGGCGCGAGCGAGAAACGCUCAGGCGCGAUAGGAUGUGGCUGCGGCCGAUUAGGUAGACGGUGGGGUAACGGCCCACCGUGCCAAUAAUCGGUACGGGUUGUGAGAGCAAGAGCCCGGAGACGGUAUCUGAGACAAGAUACCGGGCCCUACGGGGCGCAGCAGGCGCGAAACCUUUACACUGCACGCGAGUGCGAUAAGGGGACUCCAAGUGCGAGGGCAUAUAGUCCUCGCUUUUUCCGACCGUAGGAUGGUCGGCGAAUAAGUGCUGGGCAAGACCGGUGCCAGCCGCCGCGGUAAUACCGGCAGCACGAGUGAUGACCGCUAUUAUUGGGCCUAAAGCGUCCGUAGCUGGCCACGCAAGUCCAUCGGGAAAUCUCUCCGCUCAACGGAGAGGCGUCCGGUGGAAACUGUGUGGCUUGGGACCGGAAGAUCCAGAGGGUACGUCUGGGGUAGGAGUGAAAUCCCGUAAUCCGAGACGGAC